GUUGAAAAUUUUUACUUGUUAAACGGCCCACAAAUAGUAAACAGAAAACACCCGUAUCCGUUUGUAUUUUGAGUGUAGACCAUGGUUUACCGUGGGGAAACGGGUAGAAAUUACAGGUAAAAAUGCUGACAUCAGCAAAAAUUGGUAAACAAAAUGGCGAUACUCGUACCCGUAAAACGGAACCGGGGUAUCUUAACCUCUCUAAUGGAAAAUCCAGGGGAGGGGUGUAAAAAAGGCCUUGGAAAUUCCAGGGAGAGGGGUGAAAAAGACUGCAGAAAUCCAGGG